GGUUCUGCCGUCUCCACCAGAACCGUGGACUUGGUUGACAGGACGCAAGUGUGGAGGUUCUUCUCCGACUGCGACGGGUCCGAGUCCGCGCUGAUGGACUGCGGCAGUGUUCGGCCGUGGUUCUCCUCCUCCGCCGUGGAGCUCACCUGCACAGGCCGUCAGACGUCAGCAGGCAACAACUGAGGAGACAAAACAGGAAACAGUUUAAUCGGUGUUUUAUCAUCACAGGGGAAUGUAUGGAUUACCUGUCCUCAUGUGGACUGAGUGUUACGCAGCGUGAACAUCAGCGUCCGACGCCUCCAGGACGUUCGCUCUGUUUAGGAACCCUGCUGCUGUUUGAAUAAAAGUGUUUUUUUAUGAAUCAUA